GACGAACGCUGGCGGCGUGCUUAACACAUGCAAGUCGAACGGAAAGGCCCUGCUUUUGUGGGGUGCUCGAGUGGCGAACGGGUGAGUAACACGUGAGUAACCUGCCCUUGACUUUGGGAUAACUUCAGGAAACUGGGGCUAAUACCGGAUAGGAGCUCCUGCUGCAUGGUGGGGGUUGGAAAGUUUCGGCGGUUGGGGAUGGACUCGCGGCUUAUCAGCUUGUUGGUGGGGUAGUGGCUUACCAAGGCUUUGACGGGUAGCCGGCCUGAGAGGGUGACCGGGCACAUUGGGACUGAGAUACGGCCCAGACUGCUACGGGAGGCAGCAGUGGUGAAUAUUGCACAAUGGGCGGAAGCCUGAUGCAGCAACGCCGCGUGCGGGAUGACGGCCUUCGGGUUGUAAACCGCUUUCGCCUGUGACGAAGCGUGAGUGACGGUAAUGGGUAAAGAAGCACCGGCUAACUACGUG
rnacentral:rRNA from 1 species